rnacentral:rRNA from 1 species
UGGGGAAUUUUGGACAAUGGGCGAAAGCCUGAUCCAGCAAUGCCGCGUGUGUGAAGAAGGCCUUCGGGUUGUAAAGCACUUUUGUCCGGAAAGAAAUCCUUGGCUCUAAUACAGUCGGGGGAUGACGGUACCGGAAGAAUAAGCACCGGCUAACUACGUGCCAGCAGCCGCGGUAAUACGUAGGGUGCAAGCGUUAAUCGGAAUUACUGGGCGUAAAGCGUGAGCAGGCGGUUUGCUAAGACCGAUGUGAAAUCCCCGGGCUCAACCUGGGAACUGCAUUGGUGACUGGCAGGCUAGAGUAUGGCAGAGGGGGGUAGAAUUCCACGUGUAGCAGUGAAAUGCGUAGAGAUGUGGAGGAAUACCGAUGGCGAAGGCAGCCCCCUGGGCCAAAUACUGACGCUCAUGCACGAAAGCGUGGGGAGCAAACAGGAUUAGAUACCCUAUAGUCCACGCCUAAGCGAUGCUACAACUAGUUGUUGGGAUUGCAUUUCCUUAGUAACGUAGCUAACGCGUGAAGUUGACCGCCUGGGGAGUACGGUCGCAAGAUUAAAACUCAAAGAAUUGAC